UAGUCCACGCUGUAAACGAUGAGAACUAGCCGUUGGGAGACAUGAUCUUUUAGUGGCGCAGCUAACGCAUUAAGUUCUCCGCCUGGGGAGUACGGUCGCAAGAUUAAAACUCAAAUGAAUUGACGGGGGCCCGCACAAGCGGUGGAGCAUGUGGUUUAAUUCGAUGCAACGCGAAGAACCUUACCUGGCCUUGACAUCCGCGGAAUCUUUUAGAGAUAGAAGAGUGCCUUCGGGAGCCGCGAGACAGGUGCUGCAUGGCUGUCGUCAGCUCGUGUUGUGAAAUGUUGGGUUAAGUCCCGCAACGAGCGCAACCCUUGUCUUUAGUUGCCAUCAUUAAGUUGGGCACUUUAAAGAGACUGCCGGUGACAAACCGGAGGAAGGUAAGGAUGACGUCAAGUCAGCAUGCCCCUUAUGCUCUGGGCUACACACGUGCUACAAUGGCCGUGACAAAGAGUUGCUACUUUGUGAAAACAAGCUAAUCUCAUAAACGCGG
rnacentral:rRNA from 1 species